rnacentral:rRNA from 1 species
GAGACAGCAGUCGCCGCGGUAAUACGGGGGGGGCAAGUGUUAUUCGGAAUGACUGGGCGUAAAGGGCACGUAGGCGGUGAAAAGGGUGGAAAGUGAAAGUCGCCAAAACACUGGCGGGGUGCUUUCUUGACCAUUUCACUUGAGUGAGAUAGGGGAGAGUGGAAUUUCGUGUGGAGGGAUCAAAUCCUAAGAUAUACGAAGGAACGCCAACCGCGAAGGCAGCUCUCUGGGUCCCCACUGACGCUGGGGUGCGAAAGCAUGGGGAGCAAACAGGAUCAGAUACCCGGGUAGUCCCUGUCUCUUAUACA